rnacentral:rRNA from 1 species
UACGCAGGGUCCAAGCGUUGUCCGGAUUUAUUGGGCGUAAAGAGCUCGUAGGCGGCUCAGUAAGUCGGAUGUGAAAACUCGGCGCUACCACCGAGACGCCAUCCGAUACUGCUGUGGCUUGAGUCUGGUAGGGGAACACGGAAUUCCUGGUGUAGCGGUGAAAUGCGCAGAUAUCAGGAGGAACACCGAUGGCGAAGGCAGUGUUCUGGGCCAGUACUGACGCUGAGGAGCGAAAGCGUGGGUAGCAAACAGG